rnacentral:rRNA from 1 species
CACGGAGGGGGCUAGCGUUGUUCGGAAUUACUGGGCGUAAAGCGCACGUAGGCGGUUUUGUAAGUUAGAGGUGAAAGCCUGGGGCUCAACUCCAGAAUAGCCUUUAAGACUGCAUCACUUGAACACGGGAGAGGUGAGUGGAAUUCCGAGUGUAGAGGUGAAAUUCGUAGAUAUUCGGAAGAACACCAGUGGCGAAGGCGGCUCACUGGACCGUUGUUGACGCUGAGGUGCGAAAGCGUGGGGAGCAAACAGG